CCCGGGCCUUGUACACACCGCCCGUCACACCAUGGGAGUUGGUUUUACCUGAAGACGGUGCUCUAACCCGCAAGGGAGGAAGCCGGCCACGGUAAGGUACAGCGACUGGGGUG
rnacentral:rRNA from 1 species